rfam:Trichobilharzia regenti genome assembly, scaffold: TRE_scaffold0092623
AUCCAGAUGACAAGUCUCAAAUAGGAGGAAAUACGCAUCCUGGAU